GGGGCUGUCAUGGUUUCGACAGGUUUUUAGUUUGAUUCGGACUGCAGUGGAGCGGUGACCUUAUCACCAAAACAAAAAUAAACGCUAACAACAAUAGUUACGCAUUUGCUGCCUGAGUUCGCUUUACGCGAUGCAGCAUCCUCUGACCGUUCUUUGCUGUUUGACGGACAGAGCGUAAAUGAACAGAUACGGUGAGGCUUAGCCUGGAGGCCGAUCCCGACAAUCUUACAGGCACAUUCAGCAGGCGGUAAGACCGCUGACAUACCUGCUGUCUUACUAACAGCGGACUAAACUGUAGAGGUCUGAAUGUGGGACGAUUCCUGGACACGGGUUCGACUCCCGCCAGCUCCA
rnacentral:tmRNA from 1 species